GCUGACGACCGGCGCACGGGUGAGUAACACGUAUCCAACCUACCGUUUACUCGGGGAUAGCCUUUCGAAAGAAAGAUUAAUACCCGAUAGUAUAAAGAGUUCGCAUGUUCUCUUUAUUAAAGGAUUCCGGUAAAUGAUGGGGAUGCGUUCCAUUAGAUUGUUGGCGGGGUAACGGCCCACCAAGUCUUCGAUGGAUAGGGGUUCUGAGAGGAAGGUCCCCCACAUUGGAACUGAGACACGGUCCAAACUCCUACGGGAGGCAGCAGUGAGGAAUAUUGGUCAAUGGGCGUUAGCCUGAACCAGCCAAGUAGCGUGAAGGAUGACUGCCCUAUGGGUUGUAAACUUCUUUUAUAAGGGAAUAAAACGGGGAACGUGUUCCCCUUUGCAUGUACCUUACGAAUAAGGAUCGGCUAACUCCGUGCCAGCAGCCGCGGUAAUACGGAGGAUCCGAGCGUUAUCCGGAUUUAUUGGGUUUAAAGGGUGCGUAGGCGGAAUGAUCAGUCAGUUGUGAAAGUUUGAGGCUCAACCUUAAAAUUGCAGUUGAUACUGUCAUUCUUGAGUGUACAAGAGGUGGGCGGAAUUCGUGGUGUAGCGGUGAAAUGCUUAGAUAUCACGAAGAACUCCGAUU
rnacentral:rRNA from 1 species